UACGUAGGGUGCAAGCGUUGUUCGGAAUUACUGGGCGUAAAGCGUGCGCAGGCGGUUUUGUAAGUCUGUCGUGAAAUCCCCGGGCUCAACCUGGGAAUUGCGAUGGAGACUGCAAGGCUAGAAUCUGGCAGAGGGGGGUAGAAUUCCACGUGUAGCAGUGAAAUGCGUAGAGAUGUGGAGGAACACCGAUGGCGAAGGCAGCCCCCUGGGUCAAGAUUGACGCUCAUGCACGAAAGCGUGGGGAGCAAACAGG
rnacentral:rRNA from 1 species